GGAAGCGCGUUGCGUCUCCACAGAGCGUGGCUCUCUCACGAGCGCAAAUGCUUUCGUCACCAAGUCACCUUGGCAGUGGAGUCGUGCUCAGUGGCAGAAACAGAACUCAGCAUCAAGGCUCAGUCGUGUUGGGACACCACAGCAACAGACACCAUUUUGCACCUUCGGCACAGGUACGCGAGAAGCCGAGACCCGCCCCCCGGCCACGCACCCUCCCACCCGGCAGUACUCCACAGCCCAGCUCAGCCCCCAGAGCCGCCAGGCCCCCCGGCGAGAAAGGU